UUUCACUCCACAAUCACCAAUCCAAGGAAAUAAAAACAACAUAAAUCAAUAGUUAUAUAGAUACCAGCUAAAAAAUUGAAAGUAAAGUAGUCCACCAUUUCAACAUUAAACAGCAAGAACUCAGAGGUUGUUAUGACAUGCUCCCACCAUCCCCCAAAAAAAGGACAGCAGUUUCAAUUUAACAAAUAUAGUGCAUAGAUCCUUCUAUAAGGAAUUGUUUUGUUCUAAUAUUUAUACAAUAAGAAAGACAGAGAGAGAAGGAUAUUGACGCAAUAUAUAUAUAUAUAUAUAUAUAUUAAUGAUAUGCCUAAGUGAUAUCACACCAUUCUAUACCAACAUAUAGUUAGUUUACCACUAGAUAUAAUGACAUAGACUUCAUGCUUUCAUCAGACACAUAAAUAUGCAUGAAAGAGAUACGCAGAUUUUCCAAGUGAAUGGGCUAUUCUAAAUUUGAAACUACGACAUAAAAUUUUAGUUAUUUUAUUGGUAAGUUACACAAACAGCCAAUGGAUCUUAAAGCUAGGACCUCACCCUUCACCUUUCUCUUUUUUUUUUUAAGAGGUAAAUAAUAAUUCUAUUGACAAAAGACUACUUCAGGUGCACUGAACACCAAUAAGUAUAAAGAAUUACAAUGAAAUAGUAUGUAGAAAAAGGCAAAGACUCUAUAAACUCUCCAAUGGAGUUACUAUUAAACGUUGCUAUCAAUUGAGUCCCUGUGCUUUCUACGUCCUUAAAAGUACAACAAUUCCGUUCCCUCCAUAAUGUCCACAUCAAAAUCUAAGCACUUAGCUCCCAACACCCAACUACUUGAGCUCAACAACACAAUCAUUCAUUCACACAACAAAACCCAACAACAUGUAAAAAAGGAAACAUCAAAACACACUAAAGAAGUGAAAUUUUAAUUAGCAAUUCUCACAA